UACGGAGGGGGCCAGCGUUGUUCGGAAUCAUUGGGCGUAAAGGGCGCGUAGGCGGCUUUGUAAGUCCGUUGUGAAAUCCCUCGGCUCAACCGAGGAACUGCGACGGAUACUGCUUGGCUUGAGUCCCGGAGAGGGUAGCGGAAUUCCCAGUGUAGCGGUGAAAUGCGUAGAUAUUGGGAGGAACAUCGGUGGCGAAGGCGGUCUUCUGGACGGUGACUGACGCUGAGGCGCGAAAGCGUGGGGAGCAAACGGG
rnacentral:rRNA from 1 species